AGAGUUUGAUCCUGGCUCAGGAUGAACGCUGGCGGCGUGCUUAACACAUGCAAGUCGAACGAUGACCCCGUGCUUGCACGGGUGAUUAGUGGCGAACGGGUGAGUAACACGUGAGUAACCUGCCCCUGACUCUGGGAUAAGCCCGGGAAACUGGGUCUAAUACUGGAUAUGACCUUUAACCGCAUGGUUUUUGGUGGAAAGAUUUAUCGGUUGGGGAUGGACUCGCGGCCUAUCAGCUUGUUGGUGAGGUAAUGGCUCACCAAGGCGACGACGGGUAGCCGGCCUGAGAGGGUGACCGGCCACACUGGGACUGAGACACGGCCCAGACUCCUACGGGAGGCAGCAGUGGGGAAUAUUGCACAAUGGGCGAAAGCCUGAUGCAGCGACGCCGCGUGAGGGAUGACGGCCUUCGGGUUGUAAACCUCUUUCAGUAGGGAAGAAGCGAAAGUGACGGUACCUGCAGAAGAAGCGCCGGCUAACUACGUGCCAGCAGCCGCGGUAAU
rnacentral:rRNA from 1 species